rnacentral:lncRNA from 1 species
CUUGCCUGCUUUAGUUAUGAUUUAAUUUAUAUUGAAGAUUUUACUACAAGUAUCACAUAAAAUAAUGUUCUAUGUUCUACAAAAAUGAGGUCAUGAACAUAUGAACUAGGCCUGACAGACAUGUAGAUCUGACAAUCAUUCCAUACACCAAAUAUAGGAGGGUAGUAAUGCCUGUUACUGUCAGCUGUCAAACAGUCAUUUUCACCUAUCGUGAGCGUUAAAUUGGUUAGAUUUUUACCAUGAUUGGUAAUAAUAUUCUUCAGAGGUCUCAAAUAUUUAUCAUUAGCAUCUUUUUUGGGUAAUG